GGGGAACAGCUGGUAGGCCCCUUUAGCGUCCCUGAAGGUGUGAAAAUGACCUCGCCAAAGUAUAGAGUCUCUGACUGACCACUUUCUUCCAUGGUACAAAAAGAACCUGCCUAUUCCCUAUAGAAACUGGAGACUGAAGUUGGGAAGACGCCGGGGGAGGGCCUGAGGAGAAGGGUAGAGAAGAGGUUGAGUAAAGUGGAGGUCCUGGUGAACAAG